CUGGUGGGUCACCAGUCCUUCUGGAACAGAAGCACAGAGCCUUUGCCCCGCUGUGGGAGAAAAACAGUCUGGGCAGGAAGGGGAAGAGUGCAGGGGAAGGAUGCAGCUCUUGGUCCAGCCAGCACAGCUUAUUCCCAAAUCCUUUUCUUCUGCACCUGAGGCUUUUGGCCAUCUGUUGCCAGUUGUAGCUGCUAUGGUGCAAAGCUGGAGCUCAGGAAAUGUGAGUUGUGGUGGUGCAGCUGCCUCUGCUCAGUCAGGGCUGAGAGGGGCUGCUGGUCUGUCUGGGCAGCUCCUGUGGAGGAGGGAGGAAGAGCUCCCCAGUGUGCCUGCACUCAUGGAUGGCUUGGAGUUGUCUCUGCCAGAUGUUCUUCAAACAUCCCUUAAGGCUGAAAGAGACCUGAAGACUAUAUGAAGUUGUCCCUAGCCUCCUCCUAAAGGCAUCCCUUGGCAUCAUUAAAGGCUUGAGAGAAAUACCAAAACCAACCAAACACACCCAUAAGAGAAAUCCAUAAACCCUCAAAACUUGGGAUCCCCUCUUGGUCUGAAGUUGAGUUCUACAAAAACUCCUGUCAAGUUUGAGGAUAUCCUGUUGUGGCUCCACGGACGGGGGCUGGGCCCAAGCAGUGACUUGAGUUGUGUUCGGGGGACUGGGAAGAACCUUCCUCCCUCUCCCCUCAACAAAACCCAAAGUGAACACUAAAUAUGCAACGAGUCUAUUAGCUUUGUUUGCUACAUGUAUUAGGCCAUGAAAUCCAUGUUGUUCCUUUCCUUGGGUGGGCAAACCAUAGCUCUGCUCUCAGAUCAGCUGGGACCUUUUACCAGGAUCUCAAGUUGUUUUGUCCUGGGGCCAAACUCCUCUUUAUUGCUGGGGGGUGGUAACUGCCCGUGAUUUCCAAUGUUGUACAAAGCUGCUUUACUCCGAGGGGUGGAGGGACAAAGUGGGGUCCAUGUGAGGGAUGGCUGGGCUGACUCAAAUCUUGCUUCUGUAGUUAUUUUAGCAGAGAACUGAUUCUGUAGGUAGACAGGAGACUCAAGAAGUGAUGAAGUUGGAUAGUUUAGCUGUUCUGCUUGUGGUGGAGAGACCACGCUUUGGCUGCUGUUAUUAUCUGCAUCCUCACUUUUCCCUACUCCAAUUCCCAAAAGGAGAGACCCAAUGAGGCAGCUACUGUAUCAGGGGUUCCCUCUGGCUCAGGAUGAGAUAGUGGAGGUCCUGGGAGAGGCACACUCCCCAUUCCUCUGCCUGCUUGCUGUUCCAGUGCUCUCUUCUCUUGCUGGUCUGUGGGAGCCAGAGCUCAGUGCUGCCCCUCAGCUCUGUCACACAGAGCAGAUGAAUUUGGCUGGGCACAAACUCGGUUUUAAAUCAAACCCAGCUGGUUUUUGAGAGAGAGGAGAGGGUUUAAGUCAUUUAGUGAUGUAGAAACACCAGGCCGGGUGGGGAUGUGUCCUCCAAAGUUUCUCUGUCACUGCCUCUUGGCUAAAACUGCAAACAUAUCAGGAACCCAACAGGCUGCUUUUUUUCCCCCCUUUUAAUUCCUGUGCAGACAAUACUUGAAACCUUGUACACAGUUGUCCUUUCCAGCGCCUCGAGUUGGCAAACUCUCAUAAUUGGGCUCAUUUAAAGAACAGCAGGAGGCUUCAGCUUUAGAAGAGGCUGGGCUGCCCCUUCCCAGCCGACAACUGCAAGCGUGUUCAGUAGUUUGCAUAUGAAUUUAGGCACAUCUGGACCCUCUGCUUCAACAUCCUGCUGGUACAGCCACUGUGUCCCCUCGGUGCUGGCUAGCUGACUGUGUCCCAAGCACCCAACUAUGCAAAGAAUGCCUUAUAUCCGUUGUGUUUAAGUUACAUGGCAAUAUGUACAUCCAGCAAAGUCGGUAGUUAAAGUCCAGAUUUUUGCUAGUGGCAGCAAGUCAAACUCUUUCUUCAACUCAAAUGGCUGUCUGGGUAUUUUUUACUUUUGUUUGUUUUUGUUUGUUUUGUAUCUGAUGGUGGCUCUUAUACAAAGGACUGUAAUUCUAGUGGCUUGAAUCUGUAAAAAUUGCCUUUGUUUGGUCCAAUAAACCUUUGAAUAGUUUA